rnacentral:rRNA from 1 species
UCCAGACUCCUACGGGAGGCAGCAGUGGGGAAUAUUGCACAAUGGGCGAAAGCCUGAUGCAGCAACGCCGCGUGAGCGAUGAAGGCCUUCGGGUCGUAAAGCUCUGUCCUCAAGGAAGAUAAUGACGGUACUUGAGGAGGAAGCCCCGGCUAACUACGUGCCAGCAGCCGCGGUAAUACGUAGGGGGCUAGCGUUAUCCGGAUUUAUUGGGUUUAAAGGGUGCGCAGGCGGCACGGCAAGCCGGCGGUCAAAUCGCGGGGCCCAACCCCGCCCAGCCGUCGGAACUGCCGGGCUAGAGUGGGCGAGAAGUGCGCGGAAUGCGUGGUGUAGCGGUGAAAUGCAUAGAUAUCACGCAGAACUCCGAUUGCGAAGGCAGCGCACCGGCGCCCUACUGACGCUCAGGCACGAAAGCGUGGGUAUCGAACAGGAUUAGAUACCCCCGUAC